UACGGAGGGUGCAAGCGUUAUCCGGAUUCACUGGGUUUAAAGGGUGCGUAGGCGGGUUGGUAAGUCAGUGGUGAAAUCUUCAAGCUUAACUUGGAAACUGCCGUUGAUACUAUCAAUCUUGAAUAUUGUGGAGGUAAGCGGAAUAUGUCAUGUAGCGGUGAAAUGCUUAGAUAUGACAUAGAACACCGAUAGCGAAGGCAGCUUGCUGGGACGGUACUGACGCUAAGGCGCGAAAGCGUGGGGAGCGAACAGG
rnacentral:rRNA from 1 species